UAAACUAGGAUUAGAUACCCUAUUAUUUUGGAAUGUUAAGUGCUUGAGUAGUAUUAGUUAUGUUCUUGAAACUUAAAGAAUUUGGCGGUAUCUCAUUCCGUUCAGAGGAAUCUGUCUCGUUAUCGAUAGUCCGCGUUGGACCUUACUUGGGUUUGUAUACCGCCGUUUAUUGAUUAUCUUUUAAGAGUUGAGUAAUUUUCUGGUUUCUUUAUUUUGAUUUAUUUCAGGUCAAGGUGCAGCUUGUUUUCAAGUGUAUGAUGGAUUACAUUGUUAUUUGUUUUUGGAUUGUUGAUUUAAAUAUUGGCAUGAAAUUGGAUUUGGUUGUAAUAAUUUGUAUAUUGUUUUUAUGAUAAUGGUUUUGGGAUAUGUACACAUCGCCCGUCGCUCUCGUAUUAAUGAGAUAAGUCGUAACAUAGUA
rnacentral:rRNA from 1 species